GGGGAAUAUUGCACAAUGGGCGCAAGCCUGAUGCAGCGACGCCGCGUGGGGGAUGACGGCCUUCGGGUUGUAAACUCCUUUCGCUAGGGACGAAGCUUUUUGUGACGGUACCUAGAUAAGAAGCACCGGCUAACUACGUGCCAGCAGCCGCGGUAAUACGUAGGGUGCGAGCGUUGUCCGGAAUUACUGGGCGUAAAGGGCUCGUAGGUGGUUUGUCGCGUCGUCUGUGAAAUUCCGGGGCUUAACUCCGGGCGUGCAGGCGAUACGGGCAUAACUUGAGUACUGUAGGGGUAACUGGAAUUCCUGGUGUAGCGGUGAAAUGCGCAGAUAUCAGGAGGAACACCGAUGGCGAAGGCAGGUUACUGGGCAGUUACUGACGCUGAGGAGCGAAAGCAUGGGUAGCAAACAGGAUUAGAUACCCUGGUAGUCCAUGCCGUAAACGGUGGGCGCUAGGUGUAGGGACCUUUUGGGGUUUCUGUGCCGUAGCUAACGCAUUAAGCGCCCCGCCUGGGGAGUACGGCCGCAAGGCUA
rnacentral:rRNA from 1 species